rnacentral:ncRNA from 1 species
CCUAUCCCCUGUGUGCCUUGGCGGUCUCAGGCUGGUGAUUGGGGUGAAGUCGUAACAAGGUAGCCGUAGGAGAACCUGCGGCUGGAUCAUCUCCUUU